rnacentral:lncRNA from 1 species
CGCCUGUUGGCCGUACGGCAACCCCAAAUUAAAUAUUCGGGAUUUUUUAUGGAAUUUCGGGAUAAAAAAAUGUUAAAAAAAUAAAAGUGUGACUGAUAAAUUAAUGAAGAAAUUUAUUAUAAUAAUUGUCCGGUCAUUUACUGAAAGAAACCAUGAUAUGUGGAAAGUUAAAACUGAUUAAUUUGGUUUGAACUUUCUGUCACUUGCCGGGAACUGAAGAAAAAAACACAAUCAUGAAGUAAACUUCAUCUGAACAACAGAAGGUACACAUAUAUAAACAUGAUUUAAAGUGUCAUAAUUUACCAGCAGCUUUCAGUGCCCUAAGGUCCGCGUUUAAAUAGUUUGAGGUGCAAAAUAGUUGAUUUAACGAGUUAAACGUUGAACAUCUGUAUCGAUACAUUGAAUUCGUUUCGUCUAACGUUAUAGCGUAGAAACGUCACGUUCCGUAAUAUAGCGUUACUGAUGUAAACAAGAUGUCCACAGCUCCGACUGCAAGGGAUUUCCUUCUGUUAAGAUGAGUUUCCAUAUAGUGUACAAGCAUUUCAGGUAUGUAACUUGUUUAUUUUAUCAAGUUUUACCAUUUGUGAUACAUUUUUCGUACUUGAGCUCUCUGGAAUUGUCUCUAUCGUCCCCGGGUAAUGUACCCGGGAGCUUGCACCA